rnacentral:rRNA from 1 species
GCGAACGCUGGCGGCAGGCUUAACACAUGCAAGUCGAGCGGGCACUUCGGUGUCAGCGGCAGACGGGUGAGUAACACGUGGGAACGUACCCUUCGGUUCGGAAUAACGCUGGGAAACUAGCGCUAAUACCGGAUACGCCCUUUUGGGGAAAGGUUUACUGCCGAAGGAUCGGCCCGCGUCUGAUUAGCUAGUUGGUGGGGUAAUGGCCAACCAAGGCGACGAUCAGUAGCUGGUCUGAGAGGAUGAUCAGCCACACUGGGACUGAGACACGGCCCAGACUCCUACGGGAGGCAGCAGUGGGGAAUAUUGGACAAUGGGCGCAAGCCUGAUCCAGCCAUGCCGCGUGAGUGAUGAAGGCCUUAGGGUUGUAAAGCUCUUUUGUCCGGGACGAUAAUGACGGUACCGGAAGAAUAAGCCCCGGCUAACUUCGUG